AUAUAAAAAAUUUAUUGAUAUGCAAUUUUGGAAAAAAGCUUAUCAUCUGUGAGACAAACUACAAAAUCAAGUAUAUUUGUAAGAUAGCCAUAAAAUUUUAAUAUGUAUUGCUUUCUUUAUAAACAUCCAAAAUGAAAGAUGAAUUGAGACCAUGCAAGCACAACACCUAUAGGAUAUCAGCUGAACAUGAUUAUAAUCUGAAGAAAGCAUUAAGCAAAACAGAUAACUACAAUUUGAUUUUUGCUGCUAUAUUCUUUGGUAGCAUCAAGAUGAGAUUUUAUUCACUGCCUCAUUAUUCACAUGUAACAUGUUUAUUCAUUUCUUUUUCUGCUUCCUUAUCUCUUUGCCUUGCUGUUGUUAGUGGUUCUGUUACAUUUUAAGAUGGAAUUACAAUAGCAAUAGUCAGAAAGAGAUGUCAAUGCAGAUAUGAUGGAGAAAGAAACUGUAACAAAGAAUAGCAUAUCACAGCUUUGAUGAAAUGCAUGUAACCUAAGACAUAAAAUAUAAGUCUGACCUAAGUAAAUACAUGAAUUUUCUGGAAUGCUAAUACAAGACAUAUACAAAUAUAUAUUAAAUUCUUCUAUUAUGA
rnacentral:lncRNA from 1 species